AGCUUUGCGCAGUGGCAGUAUCGUAGCCAAUGAGGUUUAUCCGAGGCGCGAUUAUUGCUAAUUGAGAGAGCUAAAUAGUGUUUAUUUUAGCUAACAUUAUAGAUCUUCUGUGUGUCAGGCACAGUGUUAAUGGUGUGUUAUAUAAU